UCCAGACUCCUACGGGAGGCAGCAGUGAGGAAUAUUGGUCAAUGGGCGGAAGCCUGAACCAGCCAAGUCGCGUGAGGGAAGAAGGCCCUGCGGGUCGCAGACCUCUUUGGACGGGGAGCAAGGCCGCCGACGUGUCGGCGGAAGGAGAGUACCCGUAGAACAAGCAUCGGCUAACUCCGUGCCAGCAGCCGCGGUAAUACGGAGGAUCCGAGCGUUAUCCGGAUUUAUUGGGUUUAAAGGGAGCGUAGAUGGGUUGUUAAGUCAGUUGUGAAAGUUUGCGGCUCAACCGUAAAAUUGCAAUUGAUACUGGCAGCCUUGAGUACAGGUGAGGUAGGCGGAAUUCGUGGUGUAGCGGUGAAAUGCUUAGAUAUCACGAAGAACUCCGAUUGCGAAGGCAGCCUACUAAACUGCCACUGACAUUGAUGCUCGAAAGUGUGGGUAUCAAACAGGAUUAGAUACCCGAGUA
rnacentral:rRNA from 1 species